rnacentral:lncRNA from 1 species
UUUCCGUAGUGCCGGAAAAAUUUGUCAAAAUCCGAUUCUUCCUCUUUUAACCGCCUCUACAACCCUUAUCCGACCCCUCUAGACUAUAUCCACCCUUUGUAUAGCCUAAUGUCAUCAAAAGACUAGAUAGGGAUGAAUAUUUAUCUUUUUCUUUUUGGAAAUCGAGGUCCUUGCAUAGAGGGGAAGGAGAUCUACGUUUUUUCCUUCAGCUGGAAGUGCAACCGGGAUCCCUUUCCUCCUCGAAUCCCCUUCCUCUUCUUCUUUCUUCUUCUUCUUCUUCUCUUUUUCUUUCUUUCUUUCCUCUCUGUUUCACGCCUGAGAC